AACCGAGAACUCCUACGGGAGGCAGCAGUGGGGAAUAUCGGACAAUGGGCGAAAGCCUGAUCCAGCCAUGCCGCGUGUGUGAAGAAGGUCUUCGGAUUGUAAAGCACUUUAAGUUGGGAGGAGGGGCAUUAACCUAAUACGUUGGUGUCUUGACGUUACCGACAGAAUAAGCACCGGCUAACUCUGUGCCAGCAGCCGCGGUAAUACAGAGGGUGCAAGCGUUAAUCGGAAUUACUGGGCGUAAAGCGCGCGUAGGUGGUUUGUUAAGUUGAAUGUGAAAUCCCCGGGCUCAACCUGGGAACUGCAUCCAAAACUGGCAAGCUAGAGUAUGGUAGAGGGUAGUGGAAUUUCCUGUGUAGCGGUGAAAUGCGUAGAUAUAGGAAGGAACUCCAGUGGCGAAGGCGACUACCUGGACUGAUACUGACGCUCAUGCACGAAAGCGUGGGGAGCAAACAGGAUUAGAUACCCUGGUAGUCCGACUGAGA
rnacentral:rRNA from 1 species